GACAACUCGCGGGGAUUGUUUUCCACACCGUGGAAGCUUUGUUCUUUUCGUUUUUUGCAAUAAAUCUUGUUGCUGCUCGCUUUUUGGGUCCACAUUGCUUUUAUGAGCUGUACCACUCACCGUGAAGAUCUGCAGCUUCACUUCAGAGCCUAGCGAGACCACAAGCUCACUGAGAGGAACAAACAACUCCAGACGCGCUGUCUUAAGAGCUAUAACACUCACCGCGAAGGUGUGCAGUUUCACUCCUGAGCUAGUGAGACUACGAAGCCACUGGAACGAAGAAACUCCAACCACGUUUGAACAUCAGAAGGGGCAGACUCCAGACGCUUCAUCUUAAGAGCUGUAACACUCACUGUGAAGGUCUGCAGCUUCACUCCUGAGCCAGCGAGACCACGAACCGAUCUGAACAUCAGAAGGGACAGACUCCAGAUGCCCCACCUUAAGAGCUGUAAUACUCACUGCAAGGGUCUGCAGCUUCAUUCUUGAAGUCAGACCAAGAACCCAGCAAUUCCCAACACACAGGGACCAGCUUCUUUCCUAACUCACUUAGGCUCUUCGUGCUGCUCUGGCAACUAACACCCUUGGCUGCAGGGGCUUGGACACUACCCUUAGUCACUGACAAUUGUGUGAAGGCUGCUGUCGUUAACUUCACUUGAUCACCUUAGGCUCCUGUGAAGUGGUGAGCAAUUCAAACAAAUUCCUGUCGUCAAAUCAUAAUCCUGAUUUUGUUUGGAAGGACAGCGUGCCUGGUUCCAGGAUAUACAUCUUUCCACACCAAUAGACCUUGUUUUCCGAUGUAGCAUUAUUUUUCAUAGUUGGCGAAUAUACAGUUAUGGAUUCAUAACAGCAAGAUGGAGAAAUUGCACUGCAGAGAAAUCUUUAAAAGCAAUUACCUAAUACUGCAGAUUGCUGAACUGUACCCACACCCAAGACUGAGCAUUGGAUCAAUCCAGAAUAUACAUCAGGUGUUCUGCAAUGUCUGCCUAAAACCAUGACUCUGCCUCCUCCAGCUGUUGCUACAUCUCACUAUGGGUUUCCUGUGACAUUUUGAGCAAGUAUGCCUCUGUGACUGGGGUUCUUACACUCCAGAAUGGAUGAGAAGCACCGUAAGUGGCUUUUAAAAUGAAUAUUCCCUGGCCCUUCAGUCGCUCUAUAGGUCAAGAAUCUGAAUUCUCAACCUGUCUAGAAGGUUCUGGUUUUAAUGGUCUGUGGGCUGCACAUUGAGAAACCUGUUCAGCGAGUGCAACAAAGGUUCCACAUGUGAGAAAGGAAGCAUCAGGUCUCUUGAGCCUGUUCUUUAAUCUGUAGGCUGCACCUUCUCUUUAAAUUCUGCUAAUAACACCAUGCGAGAAAACACCCGAGCUUGAAAAGCCCAUGUUCCAACAUAACUGUCCUUCACCACUCUGGAAAAUUAAUGGUUUGUUUCGAUUAUCCCUUUGUUAAACUCCAAAGUCAAAGAGCUCUGAAAGGCAUACGGUUAUUUUAAGUUUCAGGUGAUUUCUGUUGCCAAAUAUUUUAAAAAUUUAAAAUUGCUACGUGACCUCUUAGUAGUACUAUUAGAUUUCCUGACAAUAAAAAUAAGUCUUUUGGUUUCACCAUUUAUAGUUAGUACAGCUAAUAUUAAGUAUAAUUUUAAAAGCCUUUUAUUUUCUCAGAAAGAAAAAAUAAUCAAAAUCUGCUCAGUGUGGUAUUGAAUAAUUAAAAACAAAAGAACAGUAUCUUCACAUUAGUGUUUAAUAUUAAUUGCUUUUUUACCCUUG
rnacentral:lncRNA from 1 species